rnacentral:tRNA from 1 species
ACACCCGUGACGCAGUGGCUUAGCGUGUCGUUCUUAUAAUGCGAAAGUCGAGGGUUCGAAUCCCUCCGGGUAUG